rnacentral:rRNA from 1 species
GUAGGGAAUAUUGCACAAUGGGCGAAAGCCUGAUGCAGCAACGCCGCGUGCGCGAUGAAGACCUUCGGGUUGUAAAGCGCUUUUCUGAAGGACGAGGAAGGACGGUACUUCAGGAAUAAGGAUCGGCUAACUACGUGCCAGCAGCCGCGGUAAUACGUAGGAUCCGAGCGUUAUCCGAAUUUACUGGGCGUAAAGCGCGUGCAGGCGGUUUGAUAAGUUGGAUGUGAAAGCUCCCGGCUCAACUGGGAGAGGCCGUUCAAAACUAUCAGACUAGAGGACGGUAGAGGGAGGUAGAAUUCCCGGUGUAGUAGUGAAAUGCGUAGAUAUCGGGAGGAAUACCAGUGGCGAAGGCGGCCUCCUGGACCGUUCCUGACGCUCAGACGCGAAAGCUAGGGGAGCGAACGGGAUUAGAUACCCGAGUAGUCC